rnacentral:ncRNA from 2 species
CCCUUAUUCAGAGUGAUGGAGAUACAAAGGAUCUAUGAAGUCACGGCAACCCCGUUACAUGGGACUGAAAAUUGGUCUCAGCAGGGAACGGAAGGUGCCAGCCUGAGCGAGGAACCGGGAGAUCGGUUUAUCGAGCAAUAAGAG